rnacentral:sRNA from 19 species
GCGGAGACGUAAGUUUCCGUUCACUCCUCACACCACACUCCGCCUGGAUGAUGUUCGGGCGGUU